rnacentral:rRNA from 1 species
CCUACGGGCGGCUGCAGUGGGGAAUAUUGGACAAUGGGGGCAACCCUGAUCCAGCCAUGCCGCGUGUGUGAAGAAGGCCCUCGGGUGUAAAGCACUUUCAGUGAGGAAGAACGCCUGGUGGUUAAUACCCAUCAGGAAAGACAUCACUCACAGAAGAAGCACCGGCUAACUCCGUGCCAGCAGCCGCGGUAAUACGGAGGGUGCGAGCGUUAAUCGGAAUUACUGGGCGUAAAGCGCGCGUAGGUGGCUUGAUAAGCCGGUUGUGAAAGCCCCGGGCUCAACCUGGGAACGGCAUCCGGAACUGUCAAGCUAGAGUGCAGGAGAGGAAGGUAGAAUUCCCGGUGUAGCGGUGAAAUGCGUAGAGAUCGGGAGGAAUACCAGUGGCGAAGGCGGCCUUCUGGACUGACACUGACACUGAGGUGCGAAAGCGUGGGUAGCAAACAGGAUUAGAUACCCUUGUAGUC